GUCUUAGUAGCUUAACAAAAGCCCUGGUCUUGUAAACCGGAGAGAUGAAAA
rnacentral:tRNA from 1 species